rnacentral:rRNA from 1 species
CAUCCUUUGCUGAGGAUACGGUUAACGGAGCGCAAGCGACGUUCAACCUCAAAAGAAGCAGAGGGGGCUUAGUGGUGGGGUGACUGCGUACCUUUUGUAUAAUGGGUCAGCGACUUAUAUUCUGUAGCAAGGUUAACCGAAUAGGGGAGCCGGAGGGAAACCGAGUCUUAACCGGGCGUUAAGUUGCAGGGUAUAGACCCGAAACCCGGUGAUCUAGCCAUGGGCAGGUUGAAGGUUGGGUAACACUAACUGGAGGACCGAACCGACUAAUGUUGAAAAAUUAGCGGAUGACCUGUGGCUGGGGGUGAAAGGCCAAUCAAACCGGGAGAUAGCUGGUUCUCCCCGAAAGCUAUUUAGGUAGCGCCUCGUGAAUUCAUCUUCGGGGGUAGAGCACUGUUUCGGCUAGGGGGUCAUCCCGACUUACCAACCCGAUGCAAACUGCGAAUACCGAAGAAUGUUAUCACGGGAGACACACGGCGGGUGCUAACGUCCGUCGUGAAGAGGGAAACAACCCAGACCGCCAGCUAAGGUCCCAAAGUCAUGGUUAAGUGGGAAACGAUGUGGGAAGGCCCAGACAGCCAGGAUGUUGGCUUAGAAGCAGCCAUCAUUUAAAGAAAGCGUAAUAGCUCACUGGUCGAGUCGGCCUGCGCGGAAGAUGUAACGGGGCUAAACCAUGCACCGAAGCUGCGGCAGCGACACUCAGGUGUUGUUGGGUAGGGGAGCGUUCUGUAAGCCUGUGAAGGUGUGUCGUGAGGCAUGCUGGAGGUAUCAGAAGUGCGAAUGCUGACAUAAGUAACGAUAAAGCGGGUGAAAAGCCCGCUCGCCGGAAGACCAAGGGUUCCUGUCCAACGUUAAUCGGGGCAGGGUGAGUCGACCCCUAAGGCGAGGCCGAAAGGCGUAGUCGAUGGGAAACGGGUUAAUAUUCCCGUACUUGGUGUUACUGCGAAGGGGGGACGGAGAAGGCUAUGUUGGCCGGGCGACGGUUGUCCCGGUUUAAGCGUGUAGGUGUGUGUUCCAGGUAAAUCCGGUUCACUUUAACACUGAGGCGUGAUGACGAGGCACUACGGUGCUGAAGCAACAAAUGCCCUGCUUCCAGGAAAAGCCUCUAAGCAUCAGGUAACAU